ensembl:lncRNA novel transcript
AGAUGGGAGCACUCAGCUUCAGUGUUCAGAAGCAGAUUUAGGCCAAUUGCCAUACCUUACGUUCUGGAGGGAUCCACCCUGACCUGAGCAGAAGGCAUCACACACAUUCCCAAGCAGCAUGGUUCCCGUGAGAAACUGAAAACUAAUUUCUUGAAUCUACAAUGCGACUUCCAUCUUCCAGGUGUAACCAGAGUUUUUCCUGGAGCGAUUCCAGCUUGUUUCCUUUUGGUGCCUUCCUUAAGAAAUUUUGCAGCUGUUUCUGGUGCAGUUUUUGGGUGGGCUCUGGGGUGGGCAGACGAUCUCCACUUUGCAGAGGCUGCUCUUGUGAGUGGAGCUGGUGGUGAGGGAGUAGGAGAGGCCUCGCAUCAUCCUGGCAUUCAGGCCCUUAGCCAUGGAGAAGGACUUGAGGUGGCUUCUUAAGGUACUGGGGAGCGGGAGCUUGUCCACCAGAUGCACAGGUGUGCAGGACACGAUGGUGCGGCAGCAGAGGUCUUGCAAGCUCAGUACCUUGCUCGGCCUCCCGAGCCAAUUCAUCCUGUGCCGCAGCAGCACUAUCCUGGCCAGCUCCGUGAAAGACUCUAUGAUGUUGAAAUUGCACAGAGGGCUGACCUCAAAGAAGGUCACACCCAGGC